rnacentral:rRNA from 1 species
AGCGGAAAGGCCCUUCGGGGUACUCGAGCGGCGAACGGGUGAGUAACACGUGAGUAAUCUGCCCUGCGCUCUGGGAUAGCCACCGGAAACGGUGAUUAAUACCGGAUAGGACCACUUCACGCAUGUGAUGGUGGUGGAAAGUUUUUUCGGCGCAGGAUGUGCUCGCGGCCUAUCAGCUUGUUGGUGAGGUAACGGCUCACCAAGGCUUUGACGGGUAACCGGCCUGAGAGGGUGACCGGUCACACUGGGACUGAGACACGGCCCAGACUCCUACGGGAGGCAGCAGUGGGGAAUAUUGGACAAUGGGCGGAAGCCUGAUCCAGCAACGCCGCGUGAGGGAUGACGGCCUUCGGGUUGUAAACCUCUUUCAGUACCGACGAAGCGCAAGUGACGGUAGGUACAGAAGAAGGACCGGCCAACUACGUGCCAGCAGCCGCGGUAAUACGUAGGGUCCGAGCGUUGUCCGGAAUUAUUGGGCGUAAAGGGCUCGUAGGCGGUUUGUCGCGUCGGGAGUGAAAACACCGGGCUUAACUCGGUGCUUGCUUUCGAUGCGGGCAGACUAGAGGUAUGCAGGGGAGAAUGGAAUUCCUGGUGUAGCGGUGAAAUGCGCAGAUAUCAGGAGGAACACCGGUGGCGAAGGCGGUUCUCUGGGCAUUACCUGACGCUGAGGAGCGAAGUGUGGGGAGCGAACAGG